rnacentral:lncRNA from 1 species
GGACCAAUAAGUGCCUGAUACAGGGAACAAACAUUAGACACUGCGGUGACACCUGCAAAACAGACAAGGGUUAAUAUGCAUGGUAUGGGAUGCACUGCUUGUUCAGUUUUAAGGCACCCCCGUUUUGGAAGGGAAUACCCUGCAAAUGAAUAAGCAUGAGAUGUUGGAUGCAAAUAUGCAAAUGAUGUUAUGCAAUGCAAAGGCAUGUCAAUCAGAAUUGAUGGAUCCGCUUGAAC